ACAACGGAGAGUUUGAUCCUGGCUCAGGAUGAGCGCUAGCGGCAGGCUUAAUACAUGCAAGUCGAACGGGAUUUGGAUAGCAAUAUCUGAUGAGAGUGGCGCACGGG
rnacentral:rRNA from 1 species